rnacentral:lncRNA from 1 species
AACAAUUACUAUUUGCAAAGUUUGCUUUCAAAUCUGUAUGAAAAGCUAAAGACCAGCUCUUGCUCCUUAAAAUGCUAGGCCUCUUUUCUCACUGUUAAUAGUUUAAAUAAUAUCCUAACCUAUUUAAAUUACCUGGAAUUGACUGUCUUAUCUGUUUUGUUCAUUUCUUUAGGAGAUGUAAAAGAAAGCAUUAAAAAGGAAGUUGCAUUUACUGCUUCUGCUGUUGGUGAAUCAGAUAUGCAGUCCAGAGAAAAUAGAACUAAUCAAUCUAGAGACCGAGAACUUGAAAGAAAGCACCUUCACCUUGAGCCCUCUGUUCUGAGUGUGAGCACAAUUGCAUCUGCGAUUGCAAAUGCUUCUGUUAGUGCUGAACCAUCACAGCUAGCUGCUUUGAUGAUGGCACUUUCCAACAAAAAUAAAGAAGGAAUGAAUGUUCCAGAAGGUGACAAGCUCACAGACUUCUCAGUUGUCAAUCAGUUAUUAUCGAGCAAUAUAGAAAAUAGUACAUUUGAUAUAGAAAAAUAUCUCAGAAGAGCUGAAGAAGUUGAAGGUAACAAUGAACAAGAAAACCUGAUUAAACAUGAAGGAGCCAUCAUAGAUGGGCACAAAUUUUUGUCCAUGCAUGAAUCCAAAACUUCAUCUAAAAGCAAUUUCAAUACCAGCCAUGGAAAAGAGAAGCAGCAUCUGGAAAAAAUAUAUGAGGGAAACUGCGUUGGAAGAUUGCACUGUAGUAUUUCUUCUGAGCAGAAAACAGAAGUGGAAUCUGUGCAGACAUCUAAUACAGCUGAAUAUUUUCCAUCAAAAAAGCAGACUUCAUUACAAAAUUCAAAAGAGCAGCCACCUGAAUAUGCUGGAGUAUCUUCAGAGACCAACUUGCCAUCAAUCCCAACCAAUUCUAAAUCAGAAGAAAGAGCUAACAUGAGCACCCUUCCCUUCGAUUUAAAGGUUAUUCCAAUAUUGGUUCCUCCUAUUUCUAACAAUGAAAAAGCUACAAAUAAAGAGAAUAGUACAUGCUAUAAUGAAAAACAUGUGACUUUUGAAAACAUACAUGUUGAUAAUCAGACUAUUGUGGGUGAAGCUGUUGGAAGAAUUGAACCAAAGCUUAUGAUGUCAACACCUGGUGUACAAAUUUCAGAUGAACAGUAUAGCUUCAGACCUUCAACUUCCCCAUUGACUCAUUCAUCUCCAAGUGAAGCUUCAGGAGCUACCUUUACAGGGUCUGUCUGUCCUUCUACAUCACCCAACUUUAAGGAAUCAACUUGCAAUGACAAUACGUUACCACAAUCAAUAUACUCUGAUCUUAGCUUAGAACAUUUGACUUUUGUUUCUGCCACUGAAAACACAUGUAAAAGUCCAUUGAGUCCAACAAGAUACAAAGUAAGUACUUUGUUAAAUGCUAAUGUUUAUUUAUAUACUGACUUUAAGGUUUUACUUACCUUUCAG